GGGUUUUAGAAGGUGAAUGGCGUCGGGCCGUAGGCGUCGUUUUCGGUGUCGGUAAUGGGUUUUGGUUUUGGUAAGAAACGCAGCUCUUUGAGUUGAGAGGCUUAUGAGAAAUGUUCUUUUUUUUACGCUUUUUAGGGUUUUUUUAGGGAAAAAAAUAAAGGGGAUCGGGGUAGGGGAGAAAUGGUUUGGGAAAAAUAAAAUGAGAAAAAUAAAAAGAGAUUCCAGGUGGGAUUUAGGGUUUCCGGGGUGGGGGAAUCGAUUUUGGGAAAAAGAGAGAUUUCAUUUGAAAUUUUGGGAUAAAAAAAUAUAAUUACAAAGCCACGUGGUUUUGUAAAAAUAUGUUGUGGCAUUUGGAAAAAAAACGUUAUUAUUGCUCGACUUUUAGUGGCGUUUGGACCAAAAACGUCAUUAUUGCUU
rnacentral:lncRNA from 1 species